GGAUAGCAACUAGCCGACAAAUGUGUACAUCCAUGAGCACUCAGCAAAUCGCCAUCUUUGGUGACAAGUUGGUUGUUGCGGCGAGAGGAGCGCCGCCGGAUCGCACGAGAUCUCGCGAUACGAGACGAGACUAUGACAAAGAGUAACGCGACGAAGUGGAAGGAUUGAAACAAUCUAUUCGUAGACGAUUGGAGAAUGACCAGGCUCCCACACUCAAGUCAACUCCACCACUGCCAUUUACCCGUUUAUUGGAGUCCUGGCAAAAUGUGGCCGAAAAUGUGUCUUUGUCAUUUGUAAAUUGUCCCAUUGGCCAAGUCUACAGGUCACGUCACUGGAUUUGGUCUUAAUGGAGUCAAUUAUCUUUAAGAGGUGAUGACAUAUGGAGAGUGCUAAUCUUAAUUCCCUUUAAUAUAUUAUAAUUAUAAAAGGGCACAGUUGAUAAUUUGUUUGUAAUUAGACGUUUCACAAACUUAAACGUGACGUAUUCUGCAGUCCUCUACGAACACACGUCAACGCCCUUUAGAUAAAGUGACGAGGAGAGACCUGACCCAGGACUUUGUGGACUGGUGCCAGUGGAACCGCCUCCAGAUCAACUGCUGGGAAAACCAAAGACCUGGUGUCAAAUAUUGCUUCUGCUCUGUAUAUAGUAUUUAUAUUUUAUGUAUUAUAUUUUGUACAUACCUAUUGCUUUUUUCAAAUUCUUUUAUAUUCUGCUGUCCACUCUUCUGCUGUAACGCCCACAUUUCCCCGUUGUGGGACGAAUAAAGGAUUCUUAUCUAAUGUUGUCUUAUCUUACAUGAAGAACUCGUCUGGACAGUUUCUCUUUACAUCGGAGCCGAUAUAUUCAAUAGAAGAGGCUGCUCGUGUUUCCGGUAUUUGGAACAGGACUGUAAAGCUUGUGCACCACAGGGACACUGGUCAGGUUUUAUCCAUCAAACUGAUCAAACAGCAGAGUUCGACCGAACCUUCACGGAUCCAGCAGGCGUGUAACAUCUUCACCUUCACUAAUUCCUUUUACAGUCUCAGUGUUUUGCUCACAGAGACACAGAGGGACCCCUGCCUUGUGAUUAAGUAUGUAGCAGCUAAGAAAGCUGUUUAAUUAUCCUGUGAUAAUGCAGACUAAUGAUAAUUGUAUGCAGCACAAUAUUAAGCUUAAUGUCCCCUGCACAUGUAUGCCACCUUGCUUCCUCGCUACAAGUGUCUCUCUGGGAACGUGGCACACUGUGGAGACUGUUUUUGGCUCUUGGGUACAUCCGCAGUUACAGCAUCUUGUGCCCAGACUUUACAACAGUAUCUAGCACAAUGUUUUUAUUCUAUAUUUUUUUCUAUUUCUGUUUUCAGGCAUCAUCUAACUCUCCUUAGUUACUGUGACACAUGCUGACAUUUGCAGGUUAUGUAAGUGAAGAUAUAAAUGCUGUUUUAUGUUGUUGUUGUGUUUUUGCCAUUUAAGAAAUUCAAAGUUUGACAGACCUGAUAUGCUUAGUUAUAGUUGUUAACUUGUGAUUGGACAGUUGCUUUUUUUUUUUUUUUUUUUUUUUAAAGUUGCAGCAGAAUUUACGGAAAAAUAUCUUAAAGACAAUUUUAAAACACCCUCCCACUUAAUGAUUUAACUUGCUCUGACACGUGGCUUUCAUUUCACGUUUCUUAUAGAUUCUUUUAGAAUAAAUAAUUAAAUCACUUCCUUCAGACGAGUGGGAUCUGCUGCCUUAACAGAUAUGCUCGUCUGGCCACAGGGGGGAGAUGUUGUGCCAGCUGAUGAAGUGAAGCGCCAUGGCUACAUGUGAGUGGCAGUUGAUGAACACAUGGGCGAAUACAGAAUAACACAUAAACUGCUUGGUUAGAAUAGUAAUAGUUGUAAUAAAUAGGCUGGCAGUUACCACACACACACACACACACAUUGUGGUCAGAGGCCUCAGCUUCCAGGGGGCCCAUUUUGUUCCCACCAAUGUCAAGAUCAAUCCUCGGACCGUGACAUAUUUUCCCGUUCCCAGCUGUUCCGCUAAGCUAACUGGCUGCUUGUUGUAGCAUUACAGUCUAUUAUUAACCAUUAGAGACAUGAUGCUAUCGAUUUUCUUUCUUACACGGCGAGAAAGUGAAGUGUAUUUCUGAAAAAUAUUUAACAAUUGCCUUAAAAGGAAUUCCUUUAUCCUUUGUUUUAUUUACACUUGUAAUAAAAUCAU